AAUCAGAACUGUAGGGACGCAUGUGGAAAGCACGAGCCGGGAAUGGAAAGACCGGUACAAGCGGGGUAGGUGUACAAUAGGCAAAUCCGUUGUAUAAUCCGAAGACGUGAUGUGGAGCGAAAUAAAGUAGCAAAGCGUGUGAGCCAUGUGCCGAGAAAAGCUGCUAUUGUGUAAUGCGUGCCCGUACCGUAAACCGACACAGGUGGAUGAGGAGAGAAUCCUAAGGCCGACGGAAGAAGCAUUGUUAAGGAAUUCGGCAAAAUGACCCCGUAACUUCGGGAGAAGGGGUGCCUGCGAGAGCAGGCCGCAGAGAAUAGGCUCAAGCAACUGUUUAGCAAAAACACAGGUCUAUGCGAAACCGAAAGGUGAAGUAUAUGGGCUGACGCCUGCCCGGUGCUGGAAGGUUAAGAGGAGAGGUUAGCGUAAGCGAAGCUUUGAAUUUAAGCCCCAGUAAACGGCGGCCGUAACAAUAACGGUCCUAAGGUAGCGAAAUUCCUUGUCGGGUAAGUUCCGACCCGCACGAAAGGCGUAAUGAUUUGAGCACUGUCUCGACAAUGCAUCCGGUGAAAUUGAAGUACCAGUGAAGAUGCUGGUUACCCGCGCCAGGACGGAAAGACCCCAUGGAGCUUUACUCCAGUUUGAUACUGGGAUUCGGUACUGCAUGUACAGGAUAGGUGGGAGACGAAGAAGGAUGGACGCCAGUCUGUCCGGAGUCGCUGUUGGGAUACCACCCCUGUAGUACUGGGUUUCUAACCAGUUGCCAUGAACUGGCAAAGGGACAAUGUCAGGCGGGGAGUUUGACUAGGGCGGUCGCCUCCGAAAGGGUAUCGGAGGCGCUCAAAGGUUCCCUCAGAAUGGUUGGAAACCAUUUGAAGAGUGCAAAGGCAGAAGGGAGCUUGACUGCGACACCGACGGGUGGAGCAGGUACGAAAGUAGGACUUAGUGAUCCGGUGGUAUAAAGUGGGGUUGCCAUCGCUCAACGGAUAAAAGCUACCCUGGGAUAACAGGCUUAUCACUCCCAAGAGUUCACAUCGACGGAGUGGUUUGGCACCUCGAUGUCGGCUCAUCGCAUCCUGGGGCUGUAGCAGGUCCCAAGGGUUGGGCUGUUCGCCCAUUAAAGCGGUACGCGAGCUGGGUUCAGAACGUCGUGAGACAGUUCGGUCCCUAUCCGGCGCGGGCGGAGGAUAUUUGAGAGGAGCUGUCCUUAGUACGAGAGGACCGGGAUGGACGGACCACUGGUGUAUCUGUUGUCGACCAACGGCAUGGCAGAGUAGCCAAGUCUGGAAGGGAUAAACGCUGAAGGCAUCUAAGCGUGAAGCCCCCCUCAAGAUGAGAUAUCCCUCCUUCGGGAGUAAGACCCCUUGAAGACUACAAGGUAGAUAGGGCAGAGGUGGAAGCAUGGCAACAUGUGGAGCUGACUGUUACUAAUAGGUCGAGGGCUUAAU
rnacentral:rRNA from 1 species